CGGGAAUAUUGCGCAAUGGAGGAAACUCUGACGCAGUGACGCCGCGUAUAGGAAGAAGGUUUUCGGAUUGUAAACUAUUGUCGUUAGGGAAGAUACAAGACAGUACCUAAGGAGGAAGCUCCGGCUAACUACGUGCCAGCAGCCGCGGUAAUACGUAGGGAGCAAGCGUUAUCCGGAUUUAUUGGGUGUAAAGGGUGCGUAGACGGGACAACAAGUUAGUUGUGAAAUUCCUCGGCUUAACUGAGGAACUGCAACUAAAACUAUUGUUCUUGAGUGUUGGAGAGGAAAGUGGAAUUCCUAGUGUAGCGGUGAAAUGCGUAGAUAUUAGGAGGAACACCGGUGGCGAAGGCGACUUUCUGGACAAUAACUGACGUUGAGGCACGAAAGUGUGGGGAGCAAAC
rnacentral:rRNA from 1 species